GACGAACGCUGGCGGCGUGCUUAAUACAUGCAAGUCGAACGGUAAGGCCCUUCGGGGUACACGAGUGGCGAACGGGUGAGUAACACGUGGGUGAUCUGCCCUGCACUUCGGGAUAAGCCUGGGAAACUGGGUCUAAUACCGGAUAGGACCACUGCCUACAUGGGUGGUGGUGGAAAGCUUUUGCGGUGUGGGAUGGGCCCGCGGCCUAUCAGCUUGUUGGUGGGGUGAUGGCCUACCAAGGCGACGACGAGUAGCCGGCCUGAGAGGGUGACCGGCCACACUGGGACUGAGAUACGGCCCAGACUCCUACGGGAGGCAGCAGUGGGGAAUAUUGCACAAUGGGCGCAAGCCUGAUGCAGCGACGCCGCGUGAGGGAUGACGGCCUUCGGGUUGUAAACCUCUUUCGGCACCGACGAAGCGCAAGUGACGGUAGGUGCAGAAGAAGGACCGGCCAACUACGUGCCAGCCGCCGCAGUAA
rnacentral:rRNA from 1 species